GAGUGUGUGUGUGUGUGUGUUUUGGUCGAGCUAAAUCAUAAGAGCAUGGUGUUCCUCCGCCUUCGAAGCUACUGUGCCGUCGUCGCCGUCGUUAGCCCUGGAGAGGGUAAGUCCAGUUACUGCGGCUCCGACAAAUAUUGUCGUCUAAAUCGUAAACGUCGCUCGCUAGAGAGGUAAAGUUGGUUCUAUGGUUCUUUGGUUGGUGAGGGGGGUCAGAAGCGGAGAAGAAGAAUUGAAGGAACGAAUUUGGAUUGUCAAAUCUUGAUUUGCUUCUCUUGGUUCCGUGAACGCAUAUUUCUAGGAUUAGGAUUUUGGUUGAAAGAAAAAACAGGGAAGAAAUGGGCCAAUAGUUGCCCAUCUACAGCUUCGUGGCUCCAGAUUGAGGGUUCAGAUAUUCUAAAGACAUCCAGCUUGCUCCCUUGAGGAACUGGAAAUCAAUCAUGAGUUGCCUCGACUAUUGCAAUGACGAUGAUAUGCAAUGGGCUUCUAACAAUGCACAGUUCACAGGAAAUAAUGCAUCAGAUAUUGAACUUGCAAGUAGAAGACUGUGGGGAAGUUGGAAAGCAAGUGACAAGGCAAUAAAGGGAAUUGCUCCAAUUGAGACCUCCUAACCAUCGAGAAGGAGCAUAUUCAAGACAUCCCCAACUACUGCAACGAUUUCAGAAAUAUUCAAAAUUUGCUCUCUUCAACGGGCAUAACAUACGUGCCUUGCAUGUUGCAAUUCACCUAGUCAGCCAA